UGAAAUAUUUUUCUAAGUCAUUAAGAUGAAAUUUAUCGGUCUGACCGAAAAGAGGUCCAGGAUAUUUACAAAACUAAAGCUAGCUCAGCGGUACCGUAAGUAACCAAAUACGGUUUACACUUAGCGUUUCCCCUCGGGAAUUAUUUUUAUGGAUUUCGAUAAAAGAGUGAGAUAAAUAUUUGGUUUAUAAAAUUCAUUUGAGUUUUGGUCACUAAGAGUGAAGUUAUUUAAUAAAAACAAUAAAGGGUGUUGCGACGUGAAAUAAGCUGUGUUGGUUUGGUGUAGUGUUUUACUACAAGAAAGGGUCUACACGUCACCAUCUCUACUUUGGAGUCGCCCAAGCGCCCAGUUGUUUUACAAG